GACAGAGGCCUCGAGCGUUAGGCGGAAUUACUGGGCGUAAAGCGUGCGCAGGCGGUUCGCCAAGUCAGGUGUGAAAUCCCCGGGCUUAACCUGGGAAUUGCGCUUGAAACUAGCGGGCUUGAGUGUGGCAGAGGGGGGUGGAAUUCCACGUGUAGCAGUGAAAUGCGUAGAGAUGUGGAGGAACACCGAUGGCGAAGGCAGCCCCCUGGGUCAACACUGACGCUCAUGCACGAAAGCGUGGGGAGCAAACAGG
rnacentral:rRNA from 1 species